AUACGUAGGGGGCGAGCGUUGUCCGGAAUGAUUGGGCGUAAAGGGCGCGUAGGCGGCCCGGUAAGUCUGGAGUGAAAGUCCUGUUUUUAAGAUGGGAAUUGCUUUGGAUACUGUCGGGCUUGAGUGCAGGAGAGGUAAGUGGAAUUCCCAGUGUAGCGGUGAAAUGCGUAGAGAUUGGGAGGAACACCAGUGGCGAAGGCGACUUACUGGACUGUAACUGACGCUGAGGCGCGAAAGUGUGGGGAGCAAACAGGAUUAGAUACCCUGGUAGUCCACACUGUAAACGAUGAAUGCUAGGUGUAGGGGGUAUCGACCCCUUCUGUGCCGCAGUCAACACAAUAAGCAUUCCGCCUGGGGAAUACGGCCGCAAGGUUGAAACUUAAAGGAAUUGACGGGG
rnacentral:rRNA from 1 species